CGGGACGGGUGAGUAACGCGUGGGUAACCUGCCCUGUACAGGGGGAUAACAGUUAGAAAUGACUGCUAAUACCGCAUAAGACCACAGCACCGCAUGGUGCAGGGGUAAAAACUCCGGUGGUACAGGAUGGACCCGCGUCUGAUUAGCUAGUUGGUGAGGUAACGGCUCACCAAGGCGACGAUCAGUAGCCGGCUUGAGAGAGUGAACGGCCACAUUGGGACUGAGACACGGCCCAG
rnacentral:rRNA from 1 species